rnacentral:lncRNA from 1 species
GUGGUUUUCUUCAAUCAACCUCAAAGUAAUAAAAAUUAAAACGGGUUGUGACAAAUGAAAUGAUUUGGAGAUUAGAGUCAAUGUGGGGGAUUUACCGCUUAGGUAGCACUAUAUAUUGCUGAUCAUACUGACUUCAUUUGUCAUAAUAAUAAAACUUUUUAUCAUAUAUCUUAAAUGCACUUGUAGCUAUAUACACGAUAUUAAAUCUGUCCUAUUGAACCAAGGAUUAAU